rnacentral:rRNA from 1 species
AUUGAACGCUGGCGGCAGGCCUAACACAUGCAAGUCGAACGAUUGGCGGACGGGUGAGUAAUGUCUGGGACCCUGCCUGAUGGAGGGGGUUAACUACUGGAAACGGUAGCUAAUCCCGAAUACCAUCAGAUGUGCCCAGUUGGGAUUAGCUAUUUGGUGGGGUAACGGCUCACCCAGGCGACGACCCCUAUCUGGUCUGAGAGGAUGACCGGCAACAGUGGAACUGGGACACGGUCCAGACUCCUACGGGAGGCAGCAGUGGGGAAUAUUGCACAAUGGGCGCAAGCCGGAUGCAGCCAUGCCGCGGGUAUGAAGAAGGCCUUCGGGUUGUAAAGUACUUUCAGCGGGGAGGCGUUACCCGAAGAGGAAGCACCGGCUAACUCCGUGCCAGCAGCCGCGGUAAUAC